CCCUGUCUCUAAAAUAUUUAAAAGGGCUGGGGGUGUGGAUCAGUGUUUAAGUGCCCCUGGGUUCAAUCCUCGGUACCAAAAAAAGAUCUGAUUCCAAUAUGCAGCGAAGGUAGGAAGCACUGAGAUAUGUUUUCAUUCUCCUGGAUUGGGCCCUUGGCACUGGUAGUUUUAAAAGCUGCACAGGUGCUUCUGGCAUGCAGAGGCUGGUCCAACAGAUCAUAAAGAGACAGCUGUCGCUACCCGCCAUGUUCUUUCUCCAUCUCCCUCACAGGAUGCAGCAUCUAUUGAAGUUUGGGCAGAUUUCAAGAGAGGUGGUGAGAGUGUCCAUCAGGUACUGAUGACUUAACAUCCUUGUCGAGGAAAUGCAUUAGAAAAGAAACUCAAAACCUUCUCAGAACCGGAGUGAAGUCCUGUGACAGUACUCUCCACUGUGGGUCACAAAACUUUCAGGUCCCAGCCUGCUUAGAAGUCAUCUCAAGCCCUCUGAGGGUGAAUAUGGUGUCCACGUGCAUAGUGUAGCGAAGGUUGGGGACAGAUGCCUUGGACUCCCACUAAUCCUCCUUUGGAGGGCCUUAACUUUGAGGUUAUUUCACAAGAUUCUGAGAAACUUUUCCAUUUCUUUAUUUUUUCCCUUCUUUGUAGCAUAAGUGGCUACACAUAAAAUGAACAAGGGGCCUGCGCAGUUCUCAUCUUCCCUCCCUGAAAAUUCGACCUCCUUCUUCCUGAGAAUUCCAUCCUUACAACUCUAUCUUCCUUUUCGUCCCCCAGUUUCUCCAAUCCUAUUAGUCCAUCAGAUUUCUUUUGUUCUCGUUCCUGCAUCGGGAUUCGGCCUUCCUAGCCUGCAGAACUUCAUCUCUGGCCAGGCUCUGCGGUGAACAGCGCUUAUGAGGCCCUGAAAAGGCCUCCCUUCUUCUAGUCCUGUGCUUCGUCUUUGGUUUGUUUCCAAGGCAUGUGAGCGUGAGUGAUGACCUCUUUUGUUCUCGGCUCACAUAUUACUAGGAGAACUUUGAUCGUGACAAUCAGGAUUUGCUGACUGUAGCAUACAAGGCAGGGUCCUGAUAACUUAUCUGGGCAAUAUUCUACAGACAACAUUGAUGAAGAGCAUUAAUUGUCACGGGGACCUGCAAAAUGAAUUGAAGAGAGAUGCUGGUGGUUACUGCAAGUUUCAGUAUUGAUGCCCAGCAUCUUCACAGAUGCUCUGGAAGACUUAAUUCAUGCAUAAACUACAAACAUUGUAUCAUGACUGUAACCAUGGAUAAAGAAAGACUACACAGGUAUCUAAAACUUUUUACUAGAGCAGGAACAAAAUAAUAAAUACCAACUUCUACAAAAUGUAA